AGCAGCCGCGGUAAUUCCAGCUCCAAUAGCGUAUAUUAAAGUUGCUGCAGUUAAAAAGCUCGUAGUUGAAUUUCGGGACUAAUAUGUCGGUCGUGCCUCGGUACGUACUGGUUUAUUGGUUUCUCCUUUCUGAAGAACCAUGAUGUCAUUUAUUUGGUGUCGUGGGGAAUCAGGACUGUUACUUUGAAAAAUUAGAGUGUUUAAAGCAGGCUCACGCUUGAAUACAUUAGCAUGGAAUAAUGAAAUAGGACGUUUGAUUCUAUUUUGUUGGUUUCUAGGAUCGACGUAAUGAUUAAUAGGGAUAGUUGGGGGCAUUAGUAUUCAAUUGUCAGAGGUGAAAUUCUUGGAUUUAUUGAAGACUAACUACUGCGAAAGCAUUUGCCAAGGAUGUUUUCAUUAAUCAAGAACGAAAGUUAGGGGAUCGAAGACGAUCAGAUACCGUCGUAGUCUUAACCAUAAACUAUGCCGACUAGGGAUCGGAUGAUGUUAAUUUUAUAAUGACUCAUUC
rnacentral:rRNA from 1 species